UACGGGGGGAGCAAGCGUUGUUCGGAUUUACUGGGCGUAAAGGGCGCGUAGGCGGCCAGCACAGGUCAGUUGUGAAAUCUCCGAGCUUAACUCGGAACGGUCAACUGAUACUGUGCGGCUAGAGUGCGGAAGGGGCAACUGGAAUUCUUGGUGUAGCGGUGAAAUGCGUAGAUAUCAAGAGGAACACCGAUGGCGAAGGCAGGUCUCUGGGCCGAUACUGACGCUGAGGAGCGAAAGCGUGGGGAGCGAACAGG
rnacentral:rRNA from 1 species